rnacentral:rRNA from 1 species
AUUGAACGCUGGCGGCAUGCCUAACACAUGCAAGUCGAGCGGAUGAAGGGAGCUUGCUCCUGGAUUCAGCGGCGGACGGGCGAGUAAUGCCUAGGAAUCUGCCCGGUAGUUGGGGAUAACGUCCGGAAACGGGCGCUAAUAUCGCAUACGUCCUGAGGGUGAAAGUGGGGGUUCUUCGGUCCUCACGCUAUCUGCUGAGCCUAGGUCGGAUUAGCUAGUUGGUGGGGUAAAGGCCUACCAAGGCGACGAUCCGUAACUGGUCUGAGAGGAUGAUCAGUCACACUGGAACUGAGACACGGUCCAGACUCCUACGGGAGGCAGCAGUGGGGAAUAUUGGACAAUGGGCGAAAGCCUGAUCCAGCCAUGCCGCGUGUGUGAAGAAGGUCUUCGGAUUGUAAAGCACUUUAAGUUGGGAGGAAGGGCAGUAAGUUAAUACCUUGCUGUUUUGACGGUACCAACAGAAUAAGCACCGGCUAACUUCGUG